rnacentral:rRNA from 1 species
UACGGGGGGGGCAAGCGUUGUUCGGAAUUACUGGGCGUAAAGGGCCAGUAGGCGGCCAACUAAGUCCGACGUGAAAUCCCAAGGCUUAACCUUGGAACUGCGUCGGAUACUGGAUGGCUUGAAUUCGGGAGAGGUAUGCAGAAUUCCAGGUGUAGCGGUGAAAUGCGUAGAUAUCUGGAGGAACACCGGUGGCGAAGGCGGCAUCCUGGACCAACACUGACGCUGAGUGAGCGAAAGCCAGGGGAGCAAACGGG